AACGAACGCUGGCGGCAUGCCUAACACAUGCAAGUCGAACGAGAUCUUCGGGUCUAGUGACGCACGGGUGCGUAACGCGUGGGAAUCUGCCCUUUGGUUCGGAAUAACAGUUGGAAACGACUGCUAAUACCGGAUGAUGACGAAAGUCCAAAGAUUUAUCGCCAGAGGAUGAGCCCGCGUAGGAUUAGCUAGUUGGUGUGGUAAAGGCGCACCAAGGCGACGAUCCUUAGCUGGUCUGAGAGGAUGAUCAGCCACACUGGGACUGAGACACGGGCCAGACUCCUACGGGAGGCAGCAGUGGGGAAUAUUGGACAAUGGGCGAAAGCCUGAUCCAGCAAUGCCGCGUGAGUGAUGAAGGCCUUAGGGUUGUAAAGCUCUUUUACCCGGGAUGAUAAUGACAGUACCGGGAGAAUAAGCUCCGGCUAACUCCGUGCCAGCCGCCGCAGUAA
rnacentral:rRNA from 1 species